UACGAAGGGGGCUAGCGUUGCUCGGGAAUCACUGGGCGUAAAGGCGCACGUAGGCGGCUUCUUAAGGUACAGGGGUGAAAUCCUGGAGCUCAACUCCAGAACUGCCUUUGAUACUGGGAGGCUCGAGUCCGGGAGAGGUGAGUGGAACUGCGAGUGUAGAGGUGAAAUUCGUAGAUAUUCGCAAGAACACCAGUGGCGAAGGCGGCUCACUGGCCCGGUACUGACGCUGAGGUGCGAAAGCGUGGGGAG
rnacentral:rRNA from 1 species